GUGAUUUUUCCCUAGUCGGGCUCUGCAUCCCAGAAAUACAAGCAGAAGAGGAGGCUGAGGGUGAGGUUAACCUAAGGCACAUUUCUGGGCUUCUGGCCUACUCUCUACUCCUGCUGGGCGCCUGUCUCCAGCUGGGACGAAGGGAAGAGCCUGCAGGUCAUGCCUCUACUUGAAGCUUCCUUCUCUCUCUCAGGGUUGCUAUUUAUUAUGUCUUGGCCAGUGCACCAAUCCAAAAGUUGAAAAAAAGCAGAGUACACAUCAAACCAUUCCCAGAAUCAAACUCUAGGAUGAUUUAAAGAUCAGUGAGUCAGAUACAUGUGGAUUAAAUUUUCCUCUAACUACAUACUUGGUUAGAAAAUCCUAGCCUGGGACUUGGAAGUGAUGGGUCCUGUUUGGGACACCCAAGUUGCUAUAAAGAGGUACAACGUGUGUUCAGUUCCAGUCCCUGGAUCAUCAGGCAAGGUCUGAAAACCUCUGUUUGAGACGGCAUAAAUUCCCAGGACUGCAGACCACUGGACCAAACUUCUAGGAGGCAAGACUUGUGGACCCUGGUGAGAACCCAAGCCAAACCUUUCAUGGGGCCAGCCUUGGGAGAAACUGGCCCUGCUUGGCUGGCUUCUGCUACCGUCACUCAUCCUUUCUAAGUGAGGGCAGCCUUGAGGCCACAAAACAAAGGCCAAAAUGGCUUCAAGGACAGUAAGCUCAAGGUUUCAAAAGAUUGUGACUUCCGUUCUGCUGGCUGACCCUCUCUCCAGCCUUCUCAGCUUGCAUAUCUCCAUGAAGCAAGCUGCCAUGUUGGCAAGACCUACGUGGCAAGGAUUUGAGAGCAUCCUCUGGCCAGCAGCAAGCUAGGAACCGAGGCCCUCAGUCCAACAACCAUCAAGGGACUGAAUUCUGCCAACAAACAUGUGAACUUGGAUGUGGAUCCUUCCCCAGGUGAGCCUUCAGACGAAAUGCCAACCCUGGCCAAAAUUUUGGUUACAGCCUUGUGAGAGAUUCUAAAGAAAGGACCUGGCUAAGUUGUGCCCUGGCUCUUGGCCCACAGAAACUGUGAGAUAAUAAAAGUGUGUUGUUUUAAACCAUGAUGUAUUAUGGAUUUGUUACACAGAAAUAGAUAGCUAAUACAACCUCUCUGUCUUCCUAGCUCAGCAUUUGGCAUAUGGAGUGGAAGUCAAGUGUCAGUUGAGUGUAUGAAUGAAUGAAUGGUGAUGGUAACAGGUAAACUCAUCAGGACCUAAGAAAGGCCUAGACAGGCUAGAUCCAAAGAGAGAGCUCUUUCCCAGCACCCACUGCCUGUAUA
rnacentral:lncRNA from 10 species